rnacentral:rRNA from 1 species
UGGGGAAUAUUGCACAAUGGGCGCAAGCCUGAUGCAGCAACGCCGCGUGAGGGACGACGGCCUUCGGGUUGUAAACCUCUUUUAGCAGGGAAGAAGCGAAAGUGACGGUACCUGCAGAAAAAGCACCGGCUAACUACGUGCCAGCAGCCGCGGUAAUACGUAGGGUGCAAGCGUUAUCCGGAAUUAUUGGGCGUAAAGAGCUCGUAGGCGGUUUGUCGCGUCUGCUGUGAAAACCCGAGGCUCAACCUCGGGCCUGCAGUGGGUACGGGCAGACUAGAGUGCGGUAGGGGAGAUUGGAAUUCCGGGUGUAGCGGUGGAAUGCGCAGAUAUCAGGAGGAACACCGAUGGCGAAGGCAGAUCUCUGGGCCGUAACUGACGCUGAGGAGCGAAAGGGUGGGGAGCAAACAGG